UGAUGCUAUGAAAAUCAUAAUCAAAUCCCAAUUGAUUAAACCUUCUUGUGGUUUAAGGUUCAAGUGUUAAAAGGGAAAAUGUUAUGGGAUUUGAAGGGUGUAAAUAACUGAAUUUGGAUCAUAUAUGUGGAAAAGCAUAGCAGAAGCAAGAGAUGGAGGAAAAGAUAUGUUGAGACCACUUACUUUUUAAACCUAAUUUGGAAUUUCAUUUCUUGAUUUGUAGCUUUUCUGGGUAUAUACUUAUGCAAUCC
rnacentral:lncRNA from 1 species